rnacentral:rRNA from 1 species
GACGAACGCUGGCGGCGUGCUUAACACAUGCAAGUCGAACGGAAAGGCCCUGCUUUUUUGGGGUGCUCGAGUUGCGAACGGGUGAGUAACACGUGAGUAACCUGCCCUUCACUUUGGGAUAACUUCAUGAAACUGAGUCUAUUACCGGAUAGGAGCUCCUGCUUCUUGGUGGGGGUUGGUAAGUUUCGGCGGUUGGUGAUGUACUCGCGGCUUAUCAGAUUGUUGGUUGGGUAGUGGCUUACCAAGGCUUUGCCGGGUAGCCGGCCUGAGAGGGUGACCGGACACAUUGGGAUUGAGAUACGGCACAGCCUAGUACGGGAGGGAGCAGUGGGGAAUAUUGCAAUAUGGGAGGAAGCAUGAUGCAGCACAGCAGUGCGGGGGAUGACGGGAUUGGGGUUGGAAACCGAUUUCGUCUGUGACGAAGUGUGAGUGACGGUAAUGGGUAAAGAAGCUCCGGCUAACUACGUG